CCUACGGGUGGCAGCAGUGAGGAAUAUUGGUCAAUGGGCGAAAGCCUGAACCAGCCACGUCGCGUGAAGGAUGACGGUCCUAUGGUUUGUACACUUCUUUUAUAGGGGAAUAAAGUUAUCCACGUGUGGAUCUUUGUAUGUACCCUAUGAAUAAGCAUCGGCUACAUCCGUGCCAUCAGCCGCGGUAAUACGGAGGAUUCGAGCGUUAUCCGGAUUUAAUGGGGUUAAAGGGUGCGUCGGCGGUUUUGUAAGUCAUCGGGGAAAGUUGGGGGCUCAACCCUAGAAUUGCCGUUGAAACUGGAAGACUGGAGUGUGUGAGAGGUAAGUGGAAUUCGUGGUGUAGCGGUGAAAUGCGUAGAUAUCAGGAAGAACAC
rnacentral:rRNA from 1 species